CGGCCACAGAGUUGAAACACCGGUUCCCGUACGAUCAACGAAGUUAAGCAACGUCGAUCCUGGUCAGUACAUAGAUGGAUGACAGUUUGAGAAUACCAGGUGCUGUGA